rnacentral:lncRNA from 1 species
GGCGACAAGCGGCGGGGAGGACCUCGGGGAUGGGAGCCGCCGGAGACGAGCUGAGGUGCUGCAAGGAAUCGAGCAAGGGAGCGGGAGAGCUCGGGGACGACCGGGCGUCGACAAACUCCGGCACGACCGCACGAGAGGGGCCAAGGAUCUCAGAGGCGGCGGAAGGAGGAGCUUGGAGGCACCGCCAUCUGCAUGUCGUUG